GAUGAACGCUGGCGGCGUGCCUAAUACAUGCAAGUCGAGCGAACAGACGAGGAGCUUGCUCCUCUGACGUUAGCGGCGGACGGGUGAGUAACACGUGGAUAACCUACCUAUAAGACUGGGAUAACUUCGGGAAACCGGAGCUAAUACCGGAUAAUAUAUUGAACCGCAUGGUUCAAUAGUGAAAGACGGUUUUGCUGUCACUUAUAGAUGGAUCCGCGCCGCAUUAGCUAGUUGGUAAGGUAACGGCUUACCAAGGCAACGAUGCGUAGCCGACCUGAGAGGGUGAUCGGCCACACUGGAACUGAGACACGGUCCAGACUCCUACGGGAGGCAGCAGUAGGGAAUCUUCCGCAAUGGGCGAAAGCCUGACGGAGCAACGCCGCGUGAGUGAUGAAGGUCUUCGGAUCGUAAAACUCUGUUAUUAGGGAAGAACAAAUGUGUAAGUAUCUAUGCACGUCUUGACGGUACCUAAUCAGAAAGCCACGGCUAACUACGU
rnacentral:rRNA from 1 species